rnacentral:rRNA from 1 species
UACGAAGGGUGCAAGCGUUAAUCGGAAUUACUGGGCGUAAAGGGUGCGUAGGCGGUUAGUUAAGUCUGUUGUGAAAUCCCCGGGCUCAACCUGGGAAUGGCGAUGGAGACUGCAAGGCUAGAAUCUGGCAGAGGGGGGUAGAAUUCCACGUGUAGCAGUGAAAUGCGUAGAUAUGUGGAGGAACACCGAUGGCGAAGGCAGCCCCCUGGGCUAAGAUUGACGCUCAUGCACGAAAGCGUGGGGAGCAAACAGG